GCAUUCGAUUCUUGAUAAUAUUCAUAGCAGAGAAAGCUCUUUCAGCUGUUGCAGUUGCCACCGGUAAUAUCAGAGAUAACUUUAAAAGUAAAUAUACCAACGGGUACACAACAUGUUUUUUGCUCUCUACGAGCUUGAUAGAAAGAUCACCAAUCCCCUCUAAUUUUGAAAAUUCACUGUCAGAGCAUACAUCUAAGAAAUAGUUUUCAAGCUGACAAUCUAGUAUCAAUAAUUCAACUUGAGAAAACUCUGAAGGAUAAAAUUGAGCUAAAC
rnacentral:lncRNA from 1 species